ACGAGGCACUACGGUGCUGAAGCAACAAAUGCCCUGCUUCCAGGAAAAGCCUCUAAGCAUCAGGUAACAUCAAAUCGUACCCCAAACCGACACAGGUGGUCAGGUAGAGAAUACCAAGGCGCUUGAGAGAACUCGGGUGAAGGAACUAGGCAAAAUGGUGCCGUAACUUCGGGAGAAGGCACGCUGACACGUAGGUGAAGUGAUUUACUCAUGGAGCUGAAGUCAGUCGAAGAUACCAGCUGGCUGCAACUGUUUAUUAAAAACACAGCACUGUGCAAACACGAAAGUGGACGUAUACGGUGUGACGCCUGCCCGGUGCCGGAAGGUUAAUUGAUGGGGUCAGCGCAAGCGAAGCUCCUGAUCGAAGCCCCGGUAAACGGCGGCCGUAACUAUAACGGUCCUAAGGUAGCGAAAUUCCUUGUCGGGUAAGUUCCGACCUGCACGAAUGGCGUAAUGAUGGCCAGGCUGUCUCCACCCGAGACUCAGUGAAAUUGAACUCGCUGUGAAGAUGCAGUGUACCCGCGGCAAGACGGAAAGACCCCGUGAACCUUUACUAUAGCUUGACACUGAACAUUGAGCCUUGAUGUGUAGGAUAGGUGGGAGGCUUUGAAGCGUGGACGCCAGUCUGCGUGGAGCCGACCUUGAAAUACCACCCUUUAAUGUUUGAUGUUCUAACGUGGACCCGUAAUCCGGGUUGCGGACAGUGUCUGGUGGGUAGUUUGACUGGGGCGGUCUCCUCCUAAAGAGUAACGGAGGAGCACGAAGGUUGGCUAAUCCUGGUCGGACAUCAGGAGGUUAGUGCAAUGGCAUAAGCCAGCUUGACUGCGAGCGUGACGGCGCGAGCAGGUGCGAAAGCAGGUCAUAGUGAUCCGGUGGUUCUGAAUGGAAGGGCCAUCGCUCAACGGAUAAAAGGUACUCCGGGGAUAACAGGCUGAUACCGCCCAAGAGUUCAUAUCGACGGCGGUGUUUGGCACCUCGAUGUCGGCUCAUCACAUCCUGGGGCUGAAGUAGGUCCCAAGGGUAUGGCUGUUCGCCAUUUAAAGUGGUACGCGAGCUGGGUUUAGAACGUCGUGAGACAGUUCGGUCCCUAUCUGCCGUGGGCGCUGGAGAACUGAGGGGGGCUGCUCCUAGUACGAGAGGACCGGAGUGGACGCAUCACUGGUGUUCGGGUUGUCAUGCCAAUGGCACUGCCCGGUAGCUAAAUGCGGAAGAGAUAAGUGCUGAAAGCAUCUAAGCACGAAACUUGCCCCGAGAUGAGUUCUCCCUGAGACUUAGAGUCUCCUGAAGGAACGUUGAAGACGACGACGUUGAUAGGCCGGGUGUGUAAGCGCAGCGAUGCGUUGAGCUAACCGGUACUAAUGAACCGUGAGGCUUAACC
rnacentral:rRNA from 2 species